AUUGAACGCUGGCGGCAUGCUUUACACAUGCAAGUCGAACGGCAGCGCGGGCUUCGGCCUGGCGGCGAGUGGCGAACGGGUGAGUAAUGCAUCGGAACGUGCCCAGUAGUGGGGGAUAGCCCGGCGAAAGCCGGAUUAAUACCGCAUACGACCUGAGGGUGAAAGCGGGGGACCGAAAGGCCUCGCGCUAUUGGAGCGGCCGAUGUCGGAUUAGCUAGUUGGUGGGGUAAAGGCUUACCAAGGCGACGAUCCGUAGCUGGUCUGAGAGGACGACCAGCCACCCUGGGACUGAGACACGGCCCAGACUCCUGCGGGAGGCAGCAGUGGGGAAUUUUGGACAAUGGGGGCAACCCUGAUCCAGCCAUGCCGCGUGCGGGAAGAAGGCCUUCGGGUUGUAAACCGCUUUUGUUCGGGAAGAAAUCCUCUGGGCUAAUACCCCGGGGGGAUGACGGUACCGGAAGAAUAAGCACCGGCUAACUACGUG
rnacentral:rRNA from 1 species